rnacentral:lncRNA from 1 species
UCUCUUUUUUACUUCUUUUUUAUUUUCUCUUUUUCAUCUUUAUUUUAACUAUUUGCAUGUGUGUACGGAUGCCUAGUAUUUUUCUGUGGGACUCUGGGACUACCCUGGGGAAUUCCUGAAAAAUCACGGGAUUUAAAGAGGAACUUGAUGAAGACAUCAAAGUUGUUUACAACUGUGCGUCACCGAUGCAAGAGAGGUGGAUGGAAAGUGAGCUUCUAAGUGUCCUGGAGAUUUAACUUUCCAUCACACCGGCCCCAGGGUCAGACGUCAAGCAAGAGGUGUCGCUAAUAUGGAGGGUCAGGCCGUCGUGGAGCCAUGAGGCCAGGUCACGCCCGCCCACCGCUGCCGACCUUCGCAUCCCUGGAGAUCUGAAGCCGGCCCGGCGGGACCCAGCCGAGCCCCCCGGAGGCCAUGGCCGAGCGGCACCA